GUGGGGAAUCUUCCACAAUGGACGAAAGUCUGAUGGAGCAACGCCGCGUGAGUGAAGAAGGGUUUCGGCUCGUAAAGCUCUGUUGUCGGGGACGAAUGUGCAGUAUUUGAAUAAAGUACUGUAAUGACGGUACCUGACGAGGAAGCCACGGCUAACUACGUGCCAGCAGCCGCGGUAAUACGUAGGUGGCAAGCGUUGUCCGGAAUUAUUGGGCGUAAAGGGAGCGCAGGCGGGAAGGUAAGUCGGUCUUAAAAGUGCGGGGCUCAACCCCGUGAUGGGAUCGAAACUAGCUUUCUUGAGUGCAGGAGAGGAAAGUGGAAUUCCUAGUGUAGCGGUGAAAUGCGUAGAUAUUAGGAGGAACACCUGUGGCGAAGGCGACUUUCUGGACUGUAACUGACGCUGAGGCUCGAAAGCCAGGGGAGCGAACGGGAUUAGAUACCCGUGUAGUCC
rnacentral:rRNA from 1 species